rnacentral:rRNA from 1 species
UCCGGGGGGAGCAAGCGUUGUUCGGAAUUACUGGGCGUAAAGGGCGCGCAGGCGGCUGCUCAAGUCAGGCGUGAAAGGCCUGGGCUCAACCCGGGAAUUGCGCUUGAGACUGGGCUGGCUUGAGUGCGGGAGAGGAUGGUGGAAUUCCCAGUGUAGAGGUGAAAUUCGUAGAUAUUGGGAAGAACACCGGUGGCGAAGGCGGCCAUCUGGACCGCAACUGACGCUGAGGCGCGAAAGCGUGGGGAGCAAACAGG